AGUGAACGCUGGCGGUAGGCCUAACACAUGCAAGUCGAACGGCAGCACAGUAAGAGCUUGCUCUUACGGGUGGCGAGUGGCGGACGGGUGAGGAAUACAUCGGAAUCUACUUUUUCGUGGGGGAUAACGUAGGGAAACUUACGCUAAUACCGCAUACGACCUACGGGUGAAAGCAGGGGAUCUUCGGACCUUGCGCGAUUGAAUGAGCCGAUGUCGGAUUAGCUAGUUGGCGGGGUAAAGGCCCACCAAGGCGACGAUCCGUAGCUGGUCUGAGAGGAUGAUCAGCCACACUGGAACUGAGACACGGUCCAGACUCCUACGGGAGGCAGCAGUGGGGAAUAUUGCACAAUGGGCGCAAGCCUGACGCAGCCAUACCGCGUGAGUGAUGAAGGCCUUCGGGUUGUAAAGCCCUUUUGUUGGGAAAGAAAAGAAGUAGGUGAAUCUCUCGAUGUUCUGACGGUACCUAAAGAAUAAGCACCGGCUAACUUCGUG
rnacentral:rRNA from 1 species